UACAGAGGGUGCAAGCGUUGUUCGGAAUUAUUGGGCGUAAAGCGCGUGUAGGCGGCUUUGCAAGUCGGGUGUGAAAGCCCUCAGCUCAACUGAGGAAGUGCGCCCGAAACUGCAGAGCUUGAGUACCGGAGAGGAUGGCGGAAUUCCCCAAGUAGAGGUGAAAUUCAUAGAUAUGGGGAGGAACACCGGUGGCGAAGGCGGCCAUCUGGACGGAUACUGACGCUGAGACGCGAAAGCGUGGGUAGCAAACAGG
rnacentral:rRNA from 1 species